UACAGACUCAGAUAUGACAAGACAGCUUUUGAGGAAUAAAGGUUGACUUUCUGGAAUAAAGCCUCUUGGAAAUAUUGGCCUGGUACCUUGUUUCCAGGGAUUCCAGCAAUCUUGCCUGAAAUACAUAUUAAAUACCUGCUUACUUGCUUACACAAUAUACGCCUAAUUUUGGGAGCCCACCUGCACCACGUCUUACUAAGAGACUGACUCAAUGAGAUGGAACAACCUAUGCCCCUCAUCAACAGAAUAUCCCUCAAGAUUGAGGAUGAACAACAAAAGGGGGAACUGAUACCAGCUCAACACAAAGUUGACAUAAGGGAAUCCAUAUUAGAAAAUAAACCAUACUGUCACUUUGAA